AUUCAGCCGACAAGUCCCAAAUAGGACUAAACGCGUGUCCUAGAU
rnacentral:hammerhead_ribozyme from 1 species